AGUGAACGCUGGCGGUAGGCCUAACACAUGCAAGUCGAACGGCAGCACAGUAAGAGCUUGCUCUUACGGGUGGCGAGUGGCGGACGGGUGAGGAAUACAUCGGAAUCUACUUUUUCGUGGGGGAUAACGUAGGGAAACUUACGCUAAUACCGCAUACGACCUACGGGUGAAAGCAGGGGAUCUUCGGACCUUGCGCGAUUGAAUGAGCCGAUGUCGGAUUAGCUAGUUGGCGGGGUAAAGGCCCACCAAGGCGACGAUCCGUAGCUGGUCUGAGAGGAUGAUCAGGCACACUGGAACUGAGACACGGUCCAGACUCCUACGGGAGGCAGCAGUGGGGAAUAGUGGACAAUGGGCGCAAGCCUGAUCCAGCCAUACCGCGUGGGUGAAGAAGGCCUUCGGAUUGUAAAGCCCUUUUGUUGGGAAAGAAAAGCAGCAGGUUAAUAACCCGCUGGUCAGAAGGUACGCAAAGAAUAAGCACCGGCUAACUUCGUG
rnacentral:rRNA from 1 species